AUGGCCGACGGCGAGGGCGCGGCCGCGGCCUGGGGCGAGACGCUACGGGGCUGCUUGGACUCGAUAGGGCGGCCCAAGAGAUUGUUCGUCCUCAUCAACCCCUACGGAGGCAAAAGACGGGCGAGCAAGAUCUACGAGGCAGAAAUCAAACCCCUGUUCGAAGCCGCCGGCGUCGAAGUCACAAUGCAAGAGACCCGGUACCGGGGGCAUGCCCGGGAGGUGGCGUCCUCUCUCGACCUUGCAAGAUACGACGGGAUCGUCUGCGUCAGCGGCGAUGGCGUCCUCGUGGAGCUUGUGAAUGGGAUUCUGCAAAGAUCAGACUGGGAGGAAGCAAUAAAGAUGCCAAUUGGCAUAGUUCCAGCUGGCACAGGAAACGGCAUGGCCAAAUCACUUCUCCAUGCUGCCAGCGAGACGUGCUCAGUUUCAGACGCCGUAUUUGCCAUUAUCACAGGUCACAAGCAGGCCUUGGAUGUCUGCACCAUAGUGCAAGGGGAAAAAACCGUUUUCAGCGUGCUGUCAACUACUUGGGGUUUGGUGGCCGAUGUUGACAUCGAGUCUGAGAAAUACAGGUGGAUGGGGAGCGCACGGUUCGACUUUUAUGCUCUGGUUCGCAUAAUGAACUUGCGCCGAUACCGCGGAAGCGUCCACUUUGUGCCUGCCCCGGGCUACGAGGCAUACGGAGAUCCUGUCAAGCAAGCCGAGACUCCCAUCGUGGAGCGAAACGGGGAAUCUCGGGUGUGCUCUUAUCAAGGCCCUACGGCCGAGUUUCAAUGUUCAGACUGGAGAUCCAUCGAUGGCCCAUUUGUGGGUGUGUGCGUCUACAACGUGCCAUGGGCUGCUGAAAACGCCAUGGCAGCUCCUGAAGCCAAGUUCUCAGAUGGCUACAUGGACGCGGUCAUACUGAAAGACUGUCCGAAGGCCGAUCUUUUGGCUCUGCUGCUGAAGAUGAGCGAUGGGAGCUACGUGAAAUCGCCACAUGUUACAUAUUUCAAGGUGAAAUCCUUCCGGUUAUCGCCGGGGCAGCUCAUGGAGGAUCCAAAAAGGGGCGGCAUCGUAGACGUGGACGGCGAGGUGGUUGCCAGAGGAGAAGGAACGUACGGCAUGAACCAGGAUCAAGAUUUGAUGGCCUAUGGCCCUUCUGUUCAGCUGACCGUGCACCAGGGCUUGGCCACUGUAUACUGUCCCAAAUGA
rnacentral:rRNA from 1 species